GAACGCUGGCGGCGUGCUUAACACAUGCAAGUCGAACGAAGCGCUUUAUUUGAUUUCUUCGGAAUGAAGAUUUUGUGACUGAGUGGCGGACGGGUGAGUAACGCGUGGGUAACCUGCCUCAUACAGGGGGAUAACAGUUGGAAACGACUGCUAAUACCGCAUAAGCGCACAGGGUCGCAUGACCUGGUGUGAAAAACUCCGGUGGUAUGAGAUGGACCCGCGUCUGAUUAGCCAGUUGGUGGGGUAACGGCCUACCAAAGCGACGAUCAGUAGCCGACCUGAGAGGGUGACCGGCCACAUUGGGACUGAGACACGGCCCAAACUCCUACGGGAGGCAGCAGUGGGGAAUAUUGCACAAUGGGGGAAACCCUGAUGCAGCGACGCCGCGUGAGCGAAGAAGUAUUUCGGUAUGUAAAGCUCUAUCAGCAGGGAAGAAGAAAUGACGGUACCUGACUAAGAAGCACCGGCUAAAUACGUGCCAGCAGCCGCGGUAAUACGUAUGGUGCAAGCGUUAUCCGGAUUUACUGGGUGUAAAGGGAGCGCAGGCGGUACGGCAAGUCUGAUGUGAAAGCCCGGGGCUCAACCCCGGUACUGCAUUGGAAACUGUCGGACUAGAGUGUCGGAGGGGUAAGUGGAAUUCCUAGUGUAGCGGUGAAAUGCGUAGAUAUUAGGAGGAACACCAGUGGCGAAGGCGGCUUACUGGACGAUUACUGACGCUGAGGCUCGAAAGCGUGGGGAGCAAACAGGAUUAGAUACCGUGGUAGUCCACGCCGUAAACGAUGAAUAUUAGGUGUCGGGGAGCAUUGCUCUUUCGGUGCCGCAGCAAACGCAAUAAGUAUUCCACCUGGGGAGUACGUUCGCAAGAAUGAAACUCAAAGGAAUUGACGGGGACCCGCACAAGCGGUGGAGCAUGUGGUUUAAUUCGAAGCAACGCGAAGAACCUUACCAAGUCUUGACAUCCCGAUGACAGAACAUGUAAUGUGUUUUCUUUUGGGAGCGUCGGUGCCAGGUGGUGCAUGGUGGUCGUCAGUUCGUGUCGUGAGAUGUUGGGUUAAGUCCCGCAACGAGCGCAACCCCUAUUCCUAGUAGCCACCGGGUAAGCCGGGCACUCUAGGGAGACUGCCAGGGAUAACUUGGAGGAAGGUGGGGAUGACGUCAAAUCAUCAUGCCCCUUAUGAUUUGGGCUACACACGUGCUACAAUGGCGUAAACAAAGGGAAGCGAGCCUGUGAGGGGGAGCAAAUCUCAAAAAUAUCGUCUCAGUUCGGACUGCAGUCUGCAACUCGACUGCACGAAGUUGGAAUCGCUAGUAAUCGCGAAUCAGAAUGUCGCGGUGAAUACGUUCCCGGGUCUUGUACACACCGCCCGUCACACCAUGGGAGUUGGUAACGCCCGAAGUCAGUGACGUAACCGCAAGGAGGGAGCUGCCGAAGGCAGGUUAGAUAACUGGGGUGA
rnacentral:rRNA from 1 species